UACGGAGGGUGCAAGCGUUAUCCGGAUUCACUGGGUUUAAAGGGUGCGUAGGUGGAGUGGUAAGUCAGUGGUGAAAUCUCACAGCUUAACUGUGAAACUGCCAUUGAUACUGCAGGUCUUGAGUGUUAUUGAAGUAGCUGGAAUAAGUAGUGUAGCGGUGAAAUGCAUAGAUAUUACUUAGAACACCAAUUGCGAAGGCAGGUUACUAAGCAACAACUGACGCUGAUGGACGAAAGCGUGGGGAGCGAACAGG
rnacentral:rRNA from 1 species